AGAAAUUGUCACACCGGCCAGGACUUUAAAGUAGAUGUGUUAUAGCCUAUUUACAGGAAUACACGAACCAUUUAGUUACCAAGAUAUAGGCUUCUAUCGUUAAACAGUGACAUUCCUGAAAUCAUGGCACCUCUUUCUAUAGAAGAGGAGAAUUAUGUCCGGUUAGCGUUGUUGUUAAAAGGAGUGACACCUAGAGCUGUCCGUACUUAUUUUGACAGAGAAUUUUCACCUACCUCUCUACCCUCAACACUGA